UAAUAGCGUAUAUUAAAAUUGUUGCAGUUAAAAAGUUCGUAGUUGGAGGGGGAUGAAGAAUGGUUUUCUGAAAGGGAAACCAUUUUGAUUCAAAAUGUUUUUCAUAAAGAAAAACUCGAUUACCUUGAAGAAAAUAGAGUGUUUAAAGCAAAUAAAAGUAAAUGAAUAUAAUAGCAUGGAAUAAUUUUAAAAGAUUUUUUAAAAAUAUGGUUUUUUAUAAAAAAUAAUGGUUAAUAGGGACAGUCGGGGAUGUUUGUAUUGCAAUGUUAGAGGUGAAAUUCAGUGAUCAAGGCAAGACAAACAAAAGCGAAAGCAAUCAUCAAGGAUGUUUUCAUUAA
rnacentral:rRNA from 1 species